rnacentral:rRNA from 1 species
UACGUAGGGUGCAAGCGUUAAUCGGAAUUACUGGGCGUAAAGCGUGCGCAGGCGGUGAUGUAAGACCGAUGUGAAAUCCCCGGGCUCAACCUGGGAACUGCAUUGGUGACUGGCAAGCUAGAGUAUGGCAGAGGGGGGUAGAAUUCCACGUGUAGCAGUGAAAUGCGUAGAGAUGUGGAGGAAUACCGAUGGCGAAGGCAGCCCCCUGGGCCAAUACUGACGCUCAUGCACGAAAGCGUGGGGAGCAAACAGG